rnacentral:rRNA from 1 species
UAGGGAAUCUUCCGCAAUGGACGCAAGUCUGACGGAGCAACGCCGCGUGAGUGAAGAAGGAUUUCGGUUCGUAAAACUCUGUUGUUAGAGAAGAACAGCGCAUAGAGUAACUGUUAUGCGUGUGACGGUAUCUAACCAGAAAGCCACGGCUAACUACGUGCCAGCAGCCGCGGUAAUACGUAGGUGGCAAGCGUUGUCCGGAUUUAUUGGGCGUAAAGCGAGCGCAGGCGGUCAAUUAAGUCUGAUGUGAAAGCCCCCGGCUCAACCGGGGAGGGUCAUUGGAAACUGGUUGACUUGAGUGCAGAAGAGGAGAGUGGAAUUCCAUGUGUAGCGGUGAAAUGCGUAGAUAUUAGGAGGAACACCAGUGGCGAAGGCGACUUACUGGGCCAUAACUGACGCUGAGGCGCGAAAGCGUGGGGAGCAAACAGG